rnacentral:rRNA from 1 species
UACGGAGGAUGCGAGCGUUAUCCGGAUUUAUUGGGUUUAAAGGGUGCGUAGGCGGCGAGUUAAGUCAGCGGUCAAAUGUCGGGGCUCAACCCCGGCCUGCCGUCGGAACUGGGUGCCUUGAGUGGGCGAGAAGUAUGCGGAAUGCGUGGUGUAGCGGUGAAAUGCAUAGAUAUCACGCAGAACCCCGAUUGCGAAGGCAGCAUACCGGCGCCCGACUGACGCUGAAGCACGAAAGCGUGGGGAUCGAACAGG